AGAGAGAGAGAGGAGAGAGAGGGGAGAGAGAAAUAAAAUGUGUAGCAGUCCCACUGAGACUUUGAAAAUAGGUGCAAUGACCUUAUUGCUCACCAUGUUGCUGAGAAUUUCAACAGAAUUAUAUCCUAAUGACAUUAUUGUUAAAAAAAUUAAAGUUCAAUUAUUUAUGCGAUAAAUCAAAAUUUAGUAACAAUCAUGGAUUUUUUUUGAACUUGACUGUGAUAGAAGUAUUUGAAUUCAUUUCUGAUCCUUUUGUUAUGG
rnacentral:misc_RNA from 1 species